rnacentral:rRNA from 1 species
CGUAGUCGAUGGGAAACAGGUUAAUAUUCCUGUACUUGGUGUUACUGCGAAGGGGGGACGGAGAAGGCUAUGUUGGCCGGGCGACGGUUGUCCCGGUUUAAGCGUGUAGGCUGGUUUUCCAGGCAAAUCCGGAAAACCAAGGCUGAGGCGUGAUGACGAGGCACUACGGUGCUGAAGCGACAAAUGCCCUGCUUCCAGGAAAAGCCUCUAAGCAUCAGGUAACAUCAAAUCGUACCCCAAACCGACACAGGUGGUCAGGUAGAGAAUACCAAGGCGCUUGAGAGAACUCGGGUGAAGGAACUAGGCAAAAUGGUGCCGUAACUUCGGGAGAAGGCACGCUGAUAUGUAGGUGAAGCGACUUGCUCGUGGAGCUGAAAUCAGUCGAAGAUACCAGCUGGCUGCAACUGUUUAUUAAAAACACAGCACUGUGCAAACACGAAAGUGGACGUAUACGGUGUGACGCCUGCCCGGUGCCGGAAGGUUAAUUGAUGGGGUUAGCGGUAACGCGAAGCUCUUGAUCGAAGCCCCGGUAAACGGCGGCCGUAACUAUAACGGUCCUAAGGUAGCGAAAUUCCUUGUCGGGUAAGUUCCGACCUGCACGAAUGGCGUAAUGAUGGCCAGGCUGUCUCCACCCGAGACUCAGUGAAAUUGAACUCGCUGUGAAGAUGCAGUGUACCCGCGGCAAGACGGAAAGACCCCGUGAACCUUUACUAUAGCUUGACACUGAACAUUGAGCCUUGAUGUGUAGGAUAGGUGGGAGGCUUUGAAGUGUGGACGCCAGUCUGCAUGGAGCCGACCUUGAAAUACCACCCUUUAAUGUUUGAUGUUCUAACGUUGGCCCGUAAUCCGGGUUGCGGACAGUGUCUGGUGGGUAGUUUGACUGGGGCGGUCUCCUCCUAAAGAGUAACGGAGGAGCACGAAGGUUGGCUAAUCCUGGUCGGACAUCAGGAGGUUAGUGCAAUGGCAUAAGCCAGCUUGACUGCGAGCGUGACGGCGCGAGCAGGUGCGAAAGCAGGUCAUAGUGAUCCGGUGGUUCUGAAUGGAAGGGCCAUCGCUCAACGGAUAAAAGGUACUCCGGGGAUAACAGGCUGAUACCGCCCAAGAGUUCAUAUCGACGGCGGUGUUUGGCACCUCGAUGUCGGCUCAUCACAUCCUGGGGCUGAAGUAGGUCCCAAGGGUAUGGCUGUUCGCCAUUUAAAGUGGUACGCGAGCUGGGUUUAGAACGUCGUGAGACAGUUCGGUCCCUAUCUGCCGUGGGCGCUGGAGAACUGAGGGGGGCUGCUCCUAGUACGAGAGGACCGGAGUGGACGCAUCACUGGUGUUCGGGUUGUCAUGCCAAUGGCACUGCCCGGUAGCUAAAUGCGGAAGAGAUAAGUGCUGAAAGCAUCUAAGCACGAAACUUGCCCCGAG